GGUAUUUCUUUAAAUUAUUUUUGGGGCACAUUUAGGAGGGGACUCGGCGAGUUGGUGCACGACUCGCCGAGUAGGGCCAUGGUCUUGGUCGCAGACGCGCGACUGGACUCGACGAGUCCAAUAAGGGACUCGGCGAGUCGACGCUGUUCAGCUGAACCCUAGCCGUUUCGAUUCUGAACCGUAUAUAAUGAUAUUAUGGCCGUCAUGUCGGGUCUUUUGGCCGAUUGAAGAUCCCCUGGGAGUGUGUGAGCAUCUGAAGCAAGAGAGAGGACUUGAGAAGGCUUGAAGAGAUUGUUAGACAAGGAGGAGCAAGGUGGUGAUCAAAGGAAUCGAGUACUGGAGGUUUGGAGACACAGGAAACACGUUUCCAGGGAACCUGCGGACUAGCGGAUUGUGUGCAAGUAGCUCGAAGAGGUUAUAGCCUGCGUACUACGAGAGACAUCAUGGUUAUCACACGCAAUGGGGCGAGUUCGAGCGGUGCGAGUGACGAGGAGAUUCGUCAGAUUAUUCAGGAAGAGGUAGCUGCGGCGGUCCGGGCUGAGAUCCCGGAGAUGUUUGGGUCUAUUAAGACCACGUUGAUGGAGGAGUUUGAGGAGCGGUGCGCCGCAAUUUCUGAAGCUGCAGUUGCUGCCGCUACCGCAGCGGUGGCUGCUGCCAGGCCGCAAGGGGGUGAUUCAUUACCAUUCAGGGAAUUCAGCAACACGAAACCCCCUGAAUUUGAUGGGACGCAGGAUCCGAUUGCAGCCAUGAGGUGGAUCGCCGACAUCGAGGGGUGCUUCUAUACUUGCUCAUGCCCGGAACACUUGAGGGUACGGUUCGCCUUGAACCAGCUCCGUCUGGGAGCGAAGGAUUGG